GACGAACGCUGGCGGCGUGCUUAACACAUGCAAGUCGAACGAUGAAGCUGGAGCUUGCUCCGGUGGAUUAGUGGCGAACGGGUGAGUAACACGUGAGCAAUCUGCCCUUGACUCUGGGAUAACUGCGGGAAACUGUAGCUAAUACCGGAUACUUUCACUGGAAGGCAUCUUCUGGUGAAGAAGGAAUUUCGGUCAAGGAUGAGCUCGCGGCCUAUCAGCUUGUUGGUGAGGUAACGGCUCACCAAGGCGACGACGGGUAGCCGGCCUGAGAGGGUGACCGGCCACACUGGGACUGAGACAGGGCCCAGACUGCUACGGGAGGCAGCAGUGGGGAAUAUUGCACAAUGGGCGCAAGCCUGAUGCAGCAACGCCGCGUGAGGGAUGAAGGCCUUCGGGUUGUAAACCUCUUUUAGCAGGGAAGAAGCGAAAGUGACGGUACCUGCAGAAAAAGCACCGGCUAACUACGUGCCAGCCGCCGCCGUAA
rnacentral:rRNA from 1 species